rnacentral:tRNA from 1 species
GGCCCCGUAGCUCAAUUGGAUAGAGCGCCUGCCUCCGGAGCAGGAGGUUGAAGGUUCGAGUCCUUCCGGGGUCGCCA